rnacentral:rRNA from 1 species
GCGUGUGUGAAGAAGGCCUGCGGGUUGUAAAGCACUUUCAGUUGGGAAGAAAAGCGGAAGGCUAAUACCUUUCUGUCUUGACGUUACCAACAGAAGAAGCACCGGCUAACUCCGUGCCAGCAGCCGCGGUAAUACGGAGGGUGCGAGCGUUAAUCGGAAUUACUGGGCGUAAAGCGUGCGUAGGCGGUACGUUAAGUCGGUUGUGAAACCCCUGGGCUCAACCUGGGAACUGCAUCCGAUACUGGCGCACUGGAGUAUGGUAGAGGGGAGUGGAAUUCCGGGUGUAGCGGUGAAAUGCGU